AACCAGCUCUUCAAGUGGUCGGGAAUUUUAUUGGGCUUAAAGUGUCCGUAGCCGGUUUGAAAAGUUCCUGGUUAAAUCUGGUAGCUUAACUAUCAGUUGGCUAGGAAUACUAUCUUACUAGAGGGUGGGAAAGGUCUGGGGUACUCUGGGGGUAGCGGUGAAAUGCGAUAAUCCUUAGGGGACCACCAGUGGCGAAGGCGCCAGACUGGAACACGCCUGACGGUGAGGGACGAAAGCCAGGGGAGCGAACGGGGAUUAGAUACCCCCGGUAGUCCUGGCCGUAAACGAUGCGUGCUAGGUGUUGGAAGGGCUAUGAGCUGUUCCAGUGCCGUAGGGAACUGUUAAGCGCGCCGCCUGGGGAAGUACGCUCGCAAGAGUGAAACUUAAAGGAAUUGGGCGGGGGAGCACCACAAGGGGUGAAGCCUGCGGUUC
rnacentral:rRNA from 1 species